UUCGAGUUUCCUUUCUAAAAAUUCUGAAAAAAUAAAAUUCUCCGCACUCCACAGAAAUCCUAAUGAAAAUCAUUUGUCGUUGGCCGUUCGAGCAGAAUAAUUUGCGCCGGAAAUCUGUGCGCUGACUGUCAACUAUUUGAUAUACUAUACAUUAUAACCAAGCAUAUGACAAUGACUGACUGGAGAUACAAAUAGAAGAAAAAACUGUCAACGGAACGAGUGCCACGCCCCCAGACCGCCUCCUCCUUUUUUCAUUUCAUUUGAGGCAAGAGUCCCAUGGCUGGGAUGAUACGCAUAGUUGGAGACCGUGUGCGAAAGAGAUGGCCUAGCGGCUGUGCGAGCGAGAGGGCAGAUGGCUUAACCCUCCGCUGGCCAACCAACGAUUGUUUGUUGUGG